rnacentral:rRNA from 1 species
UACAGAGGGGGCAAGCGUUGUUCGGAAUUACUGGGCGUAAAGGGCGCGUAGGCGGCCUGUUAAGUCGAACGUGAAAUCCCCGGGCUCAACCCGGGAACUGCGUCCGAUACUGGCAGGCUUGAAUCCGGGAGAGGGAUGCGGAAUUCCAGGUGUAGCGGUGAAAUGCGUAGAUAUCUGGAGGAACACCGGUGGCGAAGGCGGCGUUCUGGACUGCAACUGACACUGAUAGACGAAAGCCAGGGGAGCAAACGGG